AUGUUGAGUUUCUGUNAAGACGAUGGCCAACGGUGGAAGGGUCGCGUUGGGGUUUUGGUGUCGGACCUUUGGGUGUUGGUGGGGUCAUGGGGCACUAAAUCAUGGUUUUCCAUCAUGGUAGACUCAGAAUUGGUCAAAAAGUGCCAUUCUGACCCCAAAACCCACCAUUUUUGGUCAACUUUGGGUGAAAAUGUUGAGUUUCCGCGAAGACGAUGGCCAACGGCGGAAGGGUCGCGUUGGGGUUUUGGUGCCGGACCUUUGGGGCUCAAUGGAAUCUAUGGGGCUCUAUGGGGCUCAGCAAGAUUUCUAUGGGUCUCUAUGGGUCCCUAUGUGUCUCUAUGGCAUCUGUGGGGUCUCAGUGGGUCGCUCUGGGUCCCUAUGGGUCCCUGUGGGUCUCUAUGGGUCUCUAUGGAUUUCUAUGGGUCUCUAUGGGUCUCUAUGGGUCUCUAUGGGUCUCAGUGGGUCUCUCUAUGGGGCUCUAUGGGUCUCUAUGGAAUCUAUGGGGCUCUAAGGGGCUCAGUAGGAUUUCUAUGGGUCUCUAUGGGUGUCUAUGGGUCUCUGUGGGUCCCUAUGGGUCCCUAUGGGAUCUCUGUGUCUCCCUAUGUUUCUCUAUGGGUCUCUGUGGGUCUCUAUGGGUCCCUAUGGGAUCUGUGGGGUCUUCAUGGGUCUCCCUAUGGGGCUCUAUGGGGCUCUAUGGAAUCUAUGGGGCUCUAUGGGACUCUAUGGGUCUCUAUGGGUCCCUAUGGGUCCCUAUGG
rnacentral:lncRNA from 1 species